AACGAACGCUGGCGGCAUGCCUAACACAUGCAAGUCGAACGAGACCUUCGGAUCUAGUGGCGCACGGGUGCGUAAAGCGUGGGACCCUGCCCUUAGGUUCGGAAUAACUCUCCUAAGGGGGUGCUAAUACCGGAUAAUGUCUUCGGACAACAGAUUUACCGUCCUUGGAUGCGCCGGCGUUGGCUUAGCUAGUUGGUAGGGUAAAAGCCUACGAAGGGGUCGAUACAUAGCUGGUCUGAGAGGAAGGUCCGCCACACUGAGACGGUGACACGGCGCAGACUCCUACAGGAUGGAGCAGUGGGGAAUACUGGACUAUCGGCUAAAGCCUGAACCAGCAAUGCCGCGUGAGUGAUGAAGGCCUGAGAGUUAUGCAGCACUUUUACCCGGGACGAUAAUGACAGUACCGGGAGAAUAAGCUCCGGCUAACUCCGUG
rnacentral:rRNA from 1 species